UCAGGUCGUGGGGUGCGGCGUCCGGCGAUUAUCAGUCGCCGACGACCGCGGGCUUCUCGUGAAGCCGCUUGGUCUCGUCCUGCCACUCGGAC
rnacentral:tRNA from 1 species